CUUUCUUUGCUGGCGACCGGCGCACGGGUGAGUAACACGUAUCCAACCUGCCCUUUACUCGGGGAUAGCCUUUCGAAAGAAAGAUUAAUACCCAAUAGCAUAAUGAUUCCGCAUGGUUUCAUUAUUAAAGGAUUCCGGUAAAGGAUGGGGAUGCGUUCCAUUAGGUUGUUGGUGAGGUAACGGCCCACCAAGCCUUCGAUGGAUAGGGGUUCUGAGAGGAAGGUCCCCCACAUUGGAACUGAGACACGGUCCAA
rnacentral:rRNA from 1 species